rnacentral:lncRNA from 1 species
AUCAACUCUUAAUCUGUCAUAUAUUUGGAGGUAAGAUUUUAAUUUAUGUUUAGUCAAUCUAAAGUUUAUAUGUUUACAGAAAUAUAGGCUAUGUCUUCUUCGUUUACAUAUUAUUUCGGGUUGAUAAGCUCUAUUUCCCUGAACAGAUAUUAAAAUUUAUAUUCAAUUUAUUUUCCAGUUUACAGGAUGAUAGGCUAUGCUUUCCCUGAACCGAUCGUUAUGAUAGGUUAUGCUUUAACGAUCAUAUGAUCAUAUGGUAGACUAUAUCUCAUCGGAUCAUGAUUAUGGAGUAGUAGGUUAAGCCUCCUCCUUGUUUAUAUUUAUGGAGUGGUAGGUUGUACCUCCUCCUUAUUUAAUUUAUCCUAUACAUUGAAAUUUAUUUAUGGAGUACUAGGUUAUGUAUCCUCCUUGUUUAAUUUAUAUUUAGAUGUUUAAAUUUAUUUAUGAAGUGGAAAGUUAAUUCUCUUCCUUAUCUAUAUUUAUGGAGUGAAAGGUUAAAUAUCCUCUAUGGCUACAAAAUAUUGGAGUGGAAGGUUAAACCUCCUCCAUGAUGAGAAAAUAUUGGAGUGGAAGGUUAAUCCUCCUCUGUAUCUAUAUUUUUGGAGUGGAAGAUUAAAUCUCUUCCUUACUAAUAUUACGGAGAGGAAGGUUAAACCUCCUCCAUGAUCAGAAAAUGUUGGAAUGGAAGGUUAAUCCUCCUCCGUAUCUAUAUUUGUGGAGUGGAAGAUUAAAUCUCCUCCUUACUAAUAUUAUGGAGUAGAAGGUUAUGUCUUAUCCUUGAUCAUAUAUUUAUGGAAUAGAAGGUUAAACCUCCUCCAUGAUAAAAAAAUGUUGGAGUGGAAGGUUAAUCCUCCUCCAUAUCUAUAUUUGUGGAGUGGAAGAUUAAAUCUCCUCCUUACUAAUAUUAUGGAGUGGAAGGUUAAACCUCCUCCAUGAUCAGAAAAUGUUGGAAUGGAAGGUUAAUUCUCCUCCAUAUCUAUAUUUGUGGAGUGGAAGAUUAAAUCUCCUCUUUACUAAUAUUAUGGAGUAAAAGGUUAUGCCUUCUCCUUGAUCAUAUAUUUAGGAAUAGAAGGUUAAAACCUCUUCCGUGAUCAUAAAAUUACGGAGUUGAUGGUUUAAUCCUCCUCCUUAAUCAAAUUUUAUGGAAUGGAAGGUUAAGACUCCUCCAUGAAUACAAAAUGAUGGAGUGGAAGGUUAUGCCUCCUCCUUAUUUUAUGGUAGGCUCGGCGCCUUCAAAACCUAUGGAAGCUAUACCAGGUUGUUGUUAUUAUGAAUUAAUAUGUUUAACUAUCUGUAUAUUUUACCAAUUAUAAUAUGGGUUAAAGACAUCGAAACAUGUCUUUAAAAUUAAAAGUUCCGUAAGAGCUAAAAGCUUCGGAAGAGCUAAAAGCUUCGUAAGAGCUAAAAGAUUCGAAAUAGCUAAAAGCCCCGUAAGAGCUAGAAGCUCCGGAAGAGCUAAAAGCCCCAGAAGAGCUAGAAACUCCAGAAGAGAAAAAUGCUCUACAAGAGCACACGAUGGUGACAUGCAUAUAUGUGAUAAUAAUAAAAAGAUGGCAAGGGUAUAUACCAUAGUAAACCUGAAGUUUACUAAUUGAAUAAACCGGUUAAGCCAUCCUGGUAGUUCCAAUGAUAUAAGAUCAUUAACCAGAAGAUUUUUCAACUAUUGCAUGUCAUAAAUAUGAAGCCAUCUUGAAAAGCAUCCAUGGAUGGAUCACAAUUUCUUUUGGUUUAAAGCUCAUCGAAUAUGUAGUUCAUCCUAGAGUGAGAUUCAAUUCCAGAUGGAUAGAUCUUAAAAGUGUCAUUAUCUCGAGGAGGAGAAUUAAAGAAUCCCACAUCGAGUGUAAGAUGAACAUAUAGAAGAUUAUGUUCGCACUCGAAAUGAGCUUAAGAUAAAGCAAAUUCAAGGGAUUGCAAAACCAAUUAAGAUGAUCUCCAUGUGGUGAUAUAAAAUAUGCAGUAUGGCAUAUAGAAAACAGCUGAUGGAUCCUCAUAUGAACCUGAAAUUUAUAUUGAGUGAAAAAACAAAAUCUCAUAUCCCAGCUGAGCUCCACUAAAAAUAGAUGUCCAUGAAGGACGGUCUAUUUGCGUCUAUGACACGUAUAAAACAUGAUAGACUACUUUGGUUCCAAAUCCUCAAAAGAAAAGGAGCGAAAGAGGAUUGAUCUCGUGAAGAGAUUAUUGACAUGGUUAAUGAUAAAAUCAGUUACCUGAAUGAAAUCAUUGGUAAGAGAUCUCGAUUCACCAUGUCAUUAUAAAAAGUGGAACCAAAGAUUAACCUCUAGAGGAAUUAAUCCCUAAAGGAUUAUAUUGGAAUUCUGUUCUCGGGAACACUACUCGAUUGAAUUAAAGAAUGAUGAUCAUCAAAACUCCUGAAGAGUUUUUUUCUCGAGUAGUAUAAUAAAAUGGAUUAUUCCAGAGGUGAUAUCUUGAACUGGUAACUGGAGAUAUGUUUAUGGCACGUUUUGCCGAUUGCCACUUUGAUGAAAAUGAAUUCCCUGCAUUGAGGAGGAGGAUCUAGAGAAUCACCAAAAGAUAGCACAAAAGUGUAUAUAAACUUUGGCUUAUAUCGAUCCUCCUACCAAUAAACGUGAGGUGGAGUUCAUAAAAUUGUACAUUUGCAAAGCUUGGCAAACCAGUUACUUGAUGCGUUCAAAGAUAUAAGAUGGGUGACAAAAACAUAUAUCCCUGCUAAUGCUCCAUCAAAAGAAAUGUUCCAGAACAAAUUAAUGAUGAGAAUAGAGCAAAUGAACCGCGAGAGGCCGAUGGGCUUGUAAGAUAAAAAAAUCCCCUCUUAAGUGAAAAUGUUCCAAAAGAACCAUAUAUAGAAAUUGUCCUAAAGACAUUGGUGAAAAGGUUCCAGAAGAACCGAAUAAAGAUGUCUUAAAGACAUUUGUAAAAAGGUUCCAGAAGAACCAUAUAGAGAAAAUGUUCUAAAGACAUUUAUGAAAUGGUUAUAGAAGAACCAUACAAAGAUAUAUAUCCAGAAGACAUAUAUUAAUGGGUUCCAUAAGAACCAUAUUAAGAUAUUCGUCUAGAAGAUGAGUGUGGCUGUACUCUUUUGUUCUUAUCAUGAUUUUUGUCCCAAUGAGUUUUUCCAUGAAAAUGUUUUUAACGAGUCAGCAAUGAACACGCAAAAUAUAGAACUCCAAAGAGGAAUACUUCUAGGAAGAGAAGUAUGAUGAUAUGCGUAGAUGCAUUCUUUUUUCCUUACCAUGGUUUUUGCCCAUUGGCUUUUCCAUGAUGAGGUUUUUUAACGAGGUAUACGGAUAGACAUCCAAAUGACGUAGAAGUCCAAACUCAUCUAUCAAAGAGAAAGACUCUGUCAUCUAAACGUUCCAAGGAAAAGAAGAUUAUAUAUCUUUUCUAAAGGGGGCGCUACUGCACUCUUUUUUCCUUGUUAUGAUUUUUGUCCUAAACGAAUUUUUCCAUUGUAAGAUUUUUAACGAGAUAGUAUGUGAUAUAUUAUUAGUGAUGGAUAAUUAAGAUGGAGUGUUGGAUAAUAAUUAUCCACACAAUAGUUAUUAUAGUGAUAAGGAUGGUUAGGUAACAAGGGUAGUUACCCAAAUGCCUUACCUACUACUCUCACCUCACUUAUAUAAAUAGAUGCUAUAUUUGUGAAGGUGUGAAUGAAAAAUAAUAAGAAGAGAUUUCCCAUUUCUCUCCUCUAUUGCUCUCGUGUCUCUCCCCCACUCCUUUUUCCUCCCAUAAUCUCUAUAUAUAAUAUAAAAUAAUAUAAUAUAUAGAGAUAAUAUGGAGAUACAUAUAUACAUAAAUACAUGCUUUUAUUCCUAACACGUUAGACUUAGAUAAAUAAGUUGGAAAAAUAAACAAAACAAAAAAAACUACAAAAUAAGCAAACUUUAUGAAAAAUAUAAGUAAAAACUAUGACAAAAAUAUAGAUUAUAGGUCAAAUUUGAGUCAUUCAAACUAAAAUAGGUGAGCUACUUAUCUUUUUUUUUUGUCACAAAAGUGAACUAUUUAUCAAUUACUCUAAAAACCAUAAAAAAAACUUUUUCGACUCAAUUGAAAAACUAAGUAAUUAAAACUUCAAAAAAUUUAUUUAAUGGCUAUUGCUAAGUGCUAACCGCUCAGUUGGCAGAGUGACUCUAGGAUAAAAUUUCAACGUGUUUGGAGAACCGGUUGAUAGCUUAGCUAGGUCUUAUCAUAUUCGUAAAACAUCUCCAAUCCAUAAAUUUGUGCCUGCUCAGAGGAUUGAGCAGGUGGCUACGAACCACAGUGUCAUAUUUCAUUAUAAUAUUUUUUUUUCAAGUUUGUAUACAAAAGUGAAUUUAAUUUAAUUUCUGUAGUAUUAUUUUUUAUUGAUUGACUUUUGGAUCUUAAAUGAAUAUUUAAUGUAAAAAGGACAAAAUAAAAAUAAUUUAUUUUUUUAGUUGUCCAUUUUUAACUUAAUAUAUUAUAUACUGUAGUAGAACAGGGGAGUAAAUCUUUUAUAUUAGUAACUGAAAAUUCGUUUGGCCCUUUUUAUAAUAAAACAUUUUCUUCUGCUUUCUAUUGUUGCUUUUUGUUUGUGAAUUUAAGAAAAUAAAUAAACUAGAGUCAUUUGUAUUUCCAUUAUAGAAAAAAUCAAACCUUUACUUGUACAACGACUUGUGCAAACAAAAAGCAAGUAACUGCUCCUCUGACUAGUGAUUACAUGGAAUUGAAUCAAUCAAUUGUCUCUUUUUUCUCUUUCUUUUUCAGAUAAAGAAAAAAAAUUAGUUACACAAAUCUUUAUAUAUGUAUAUGCAAAGGCAAAAAAGUAAAGAAAAAUAAGUAUUAAUAAUAUUCAUUAGUGUCCACGGCCUCUCUUGCUCGGCCCUGAUGCUAAUCGGAAAGCCAAACUCCUCAUCAAAGGAAUCCUCGAGCUGUUGGCCGUUGCCGCCGCAGAGAAAAAGCUAAAACCACCACCACCACCGUCUACGGCAGCCGUUUGAUCACAGCCGUUCGUCUGCUCUGUUCUAAGGGAUCUGCAAUCAACUCCCGAAAUAAUCCAAGACAUCUCCACCAAUAAGAUGAUGCAUAACACAAUCAUAAUCUUCUUCAUCAUAUUGACCUUGAACUUCACUUCAAAUGUAUUACUUUAUGUCUUUAUGUCUUUAUGUCUCUAUGUCUCUCUCUCUCUCUCUCUCUCUCUAAGAAUGUUGGCUUUGUUAAACGAGUUGUUGAGUUAUGAGAUGAAAGGCUUGUGUGUGUAUUUAUAUGGUUGUGUGUGCGUGUGUAAGCAAAGGGCAUUUAUUGACCAGGAAUUAAUAAAUGCUAGACUAAUUG